ensembl:lncRNA
AUUUCUGCCUCCAACUGAUCCUAUCAUUAUUUCCUCGUGUGUCUCCCUGUCCAGACUGUAAGAGGGGUAUGGAAGAAGAUGACUUAGGUCUCGUGACCUCACCUCUUUGGUGGAAGAGAGGACAUGAGUCCAAGGUCACUAUCCUGUGAUGAAUGUGCCCUGGGACCAGGCUCCCCAGCCCAUGUGUGCUGCUCCGAGAGAUUCACUGCUGCUCUUAUAGAAGAGAGAAAAUGAGGGUGCAGCAGUAGAGCUGAAACCAUGGCAGAGGGAAUGGAAACAGAUGAGGUAUUUCCAAGUAGGAACAAGUAAAUUGGCAAAAAAAAAAAAAAAAAAAAAAAGCCAUUUUUCAGCUGAAAUGUUGCUAGAAUGCAAAUUUACAUCUUUAAUUCCCACCCUCCUUCCAACCCCCCAGAUAGUACAGCACCAAAAAAAAAUAUGAGAGUGAGAAGCACGGAAAGCAGUCUGGUGGCAGCAACACUGCUGGUUUUGUUUGAUUUCAGUAUGUCACUGAGGCUGAGAAACAAGUGACUUUGGUCCCUGCCACAUAGGUGAGGUACAGACAAAAAGUAAAUGGCUUACGUCACAGUAGUGGUUCCUAGCAGCGUGCACAAGCCCUACCUCAGUGGAAGGGAAUACAUGAAUAUUCAAAGGCAUUUACCAAAGUAAUGAAGAAAGGAGAAGCAAUGUUUUCCCUUGACUUGGAAUUCCCACUUCUGCUCAGCUGGGAAUGCAAGAAUAAUUAAUCAAAGUGCUUUAAUAAGUUUCUCUCUGCCUUAAUCAGAGCUGUGCAAAUAAAUCAUUUUUCAGUUCAGUAGCUGAACCAAAAUAAUAAUAAUUGUAAAAAUAUUUCUAAGUUGCCUGAAAUGGAACUUCACGCUUUCUCAAAUAUUUUCA